rnacentral:rRNA from 1 species
AGUUGUUCGUGUCUUUAUGACGUGAGUAACGCAGCUAACGCAUUAAGUUGACCGCCUGGGGAGUACGGCCGCAAGGUUAAAACUCAAAUGAAUUGACGGGGGCCCGCACAAGCGGUGGAGCAUGUGGUUUAAUUCGAUGCAACGCGAAGAGCCUUACCAUCCCUUGACAUCCAGAGAAUUUUCUAGAGAUAGAUUAGUGCCUUCGGGAACUCUGAGACAGGUGCUGCAUGGCUGUCGUCAGUUCGUGUUGUGAGAUGUUGGGUUAAGUCCCGCAACGAGCGCAACCCUUAUCCUUAGUUGCCAGCACUAAGGUGGGAACUCUAGGGAGACUCCCGGUGAUAAACCGGAGGAAGGUGGGGACGACGUCAAGUCCUCAUGGCCCUUUCGGGAUGGGCUACACACGUGCUACAAUGGCGCACACAAAGGGCAGCAAGCUAGCGAUAGCAAGCGAAUCUCAAAAAGUGCGUCGUAGUCCGGAUUGGAGUCUGCAACUCGACUCCAUGAAGUCGGAAUCGCUAGUAAUCGUGGAUCAGAAUGCCACGGUGAAUACGUUCCCGGGCNUUGUACACACCGCCCGUCACACCAUGGGAGUGGGCUGCACCAGAAGUAGAUAGCUUAACCUUCGGGAGGGCGUUUACCACGGUGUGGUUCAUGACUGGGGUG